rnacentral:rRNA from 1 species
GACGAAGGGGGCUAGCGUUGUUCGGAAUUACUGGGCGUAAAGCGAGUGUAGGUGGUUGUCCAAGUUGGAUGUGAAAGCCUUGAGCUCAACUCAAGAAAUGCAUUCAGGACUGGGCGGCUAGAGGACCGGAGAGGAUAGUGGAAUUCCCAGUGUAGUGGUGAAAUUCGUAGAUAUUGGGAAGAACACCGGUGGCGAAGGCGGCUAUCUGGCCCGUAAUUGACGCUGAGGCACGAAAGCGUGGGGAGCAAACAGG